rnacentral:rRNA from 1 species
GAUGAACGCUAGCGAUAGGCUUAACACAUGCAAGUCGAGGGGCAGCAUUAUUUUAGCUUGCUAAGAUAGAUGGCGACCGGCGCACGGGUGCGUAACGCGUAUGCAACCUGCCUGUAAUUAGGGAAUAACCCGGUGAAAGUCGGACUAAUACCCUAUAUUCUUCUUUCUCCGCAUGGAGGAGGACGGAAAGAUUUAUUGAUUACAGAUGGGCAUGCGUCCCAUUAGCUAGUUGGUAAGGUAACGGCUUACCAAGGCAACGAUGGGUAGGGGGACUGAGAGGUUGACCCCCCACACUGGUACUGAGACACGGACCAGACUCCUACGGGAGGCAGCAGUGAGGAAUAUUGGUCAAUGGGCGAGAGCCUGAACCAGCCAAGUCGCGUGAAGGACGACGGUUCUAUGGAUUGUAAACUUCUUUUGUAGAGGAAUAAUGGCAGCUACGCGUAGCUGAGAUGCAUGUACUCUACGAAUAAGUAUCGGCUAACUCCGUGCCAGCAGCCGCGGUAAUACGGAGGAUACGAGCGUUAUCCGGAAUUAUUGGGUUUAAAGGGUGCGUAGGUGGCGUAUUAAGUCAGUGGUGAAAAGCUGCAGCUCAACUGUAGUCUUGCCGUUGAAACUGAUAUGCUAGAGAGGAGACGAGGUAUGCGGAAUGUGUGGUGUAGCGGUGAAAUGCAUAGAUAUCACACAGAACGCCGAUUGCGAAGGCAGCGUACCAGGCUCCGUCUGACACUGAAGCACGAAAGCGUGGGGAUCAAACAGGAUUAGAUACCCUGGUAGUCCACGCAGUAAACGAUGAAUACUAGAUUUUUGCGAUAUAGUGUAAGAGUCUAAGCGAAAGCGAUAAGUAUUCCACCUGGGGAGUACGCCGGCAACGGUGAAACUCAAAGGAAUUGACGGGGGCCCGCACAAGCGGAGGAACAUGUGGUUUAAUUCGAUGAUACGCGAGGAACCUUACCCGGGAUUGAAAUUUAGAUGACGGCAGAUGAGAGUUAG